rnacentral:rRNA from 1 species
CUUUCCCUCUGGCGGCAUGCUUUACACAUGCAAGUCGAACGGUAACAGGCCGCAAGGUGCUGACGAGUGGCGAACGGGUGAGUAAUGCAUCGGAACGUGCCCAGGCGUGGGGGAUAACUACUCGAAAGAGUAGCUAAUACCGCAUACGAUCUAUGGAUGAAAGCGGGGGACCGUAAGGCCUCGCGCGAUUGGAGCGGCCGAUGUCAGAUUAGGUAGUUGGUGGGGUAAAGGCUCACCAAGCCAACGAUCUGUAGCUGGUCUGAGAGGACGACCAGCCACACUGGGACUGAGACACGGCCCAGACUCCUACGGGAGGCAGCAGUGGGGAAUUUUGGACAAUGGGCGCAAGCCUGAUCCAGCAAUGCCGCGUGCAGGAAGAAGGCCUUCGGGUUGUAAACUGCUUUUGUACGGAACGAAACGGCUCUGGUUAAUACCCGGGGCUAAUGACGGUACCGUAAGAAUAAGCACCGGCUAACUACGUG